CACGUAGGGCGCGAGCGUUGUCCGGAAUUAUUGGGCGUAAAGAGCUCGUAGGCGGCCUGUUGCGUCCGCUGUGAAAGCCCGGGGCUUAACCCCGGGUCGGCAGUGGAUACGGGCAGGCUAGAGGUAGGUAGGGGAGAAUGGAAUUCCCGGUGUAGCGGUGAAAUGCGCAGAUAUCGGGAGGAACACCGGUGGCGAGGCGACUACCUGGCCUGUUCUUGACGCUGAGGCGCGAAAGCUGGGGAGCAAACGGG
rnacentral:rRNA from 1 species